UCUCCGUAGGUGAACCCGCGGAGGGAUCAUUACAGAGUUCUCGCCCUCGCGGGUAGAUCUCCCACCCACUGUUAUCGUUACCGUCGUUUCUUUGGCGGGCCGCCGGCGUCUAAUAGGCGGCGUGCACCCGCCAGAGGCCUUCAAACUCUGAAUGUUAGUGUCGUCUGAGUACUAUAUAAUAGUUAAAACUUUCAACAACGGAUCUCUUGGUUCUG
rnacentral:misc_RNA from 1 species